GCGCGAAAACUUUACAAUGCUGGGAACAGCGAUAAGGGAACCUCGAGUGCCAGGUUACAAAUCUGGCUGUCGUGAUGCCUAAAAACGCAUUAUAUAGCAAGGGCCGGGCAAGACCGGUGCCAGCCGCCGCGGUAACACCGGCGGCUCGAGUGGUAACCGUUAUUAUUGGGUCUAAAGGGUCUGUAGCCGGCCGGAUAAGUCUCUUGGGAAAUCUGGCAGCUUAACUGUCAGGCUUUCAGGGGAUACUGUCUGGCUCGAGGCCGGGAGAGGUGAGAGGUACUUCAGGGGUAGGGGUGAAAUCUUGUAAUCCUUGAAGGACCACCAGUGGCGAAGGCGUCUCACCAGAACGGACCUGACGGCAAGGGACGAAAGCUAGGGGCACGAACCGGAUUAGAAACCC
rnacentral:rRNA from 1 species